AAAUACCUGUAGGUACCUAAGUAUUAUUUAUUCCGUAAUUUCAAAGCAGUCCAUUUCUAAUUUAUAUCGUGCCAAGCGGUCGCUUAUUUAAGUGCAGAACAUUUGAAAUACCUCGUUGAAUUUAGCGUUCUAUGUUUGGACUGUGAACACCAAUGAAAUGGCAUAAAAGUAAUAGACGCGGGGAUUUACUUGUGUAGUGUACCGUGUCUUGUGACAGCGUAGGAGAUUAAUUUUAAUCUUCAUCAGUCGUCAUGGAUGAGUGUUAGAGUAAAACAUGGCAACAGCCUCGCAUAGAUAUAAAAAUAUAUAGGCUGAUGAUUGCAGCUGUCCACAGCUGUUAUUAGUGUCCAGUGAAAUAUGAAGUUUAUCGUAUCUCGGAUCAUAGCAAUAUCUGGCAGAAAUUAUUAAGCAGCCUUUAUCUGCCAGAUAGCCACUUUAUCGGUAACCAGUGAAACCAGACACAGGUCAAAAAUCUGAACCUCGUCAGUUGAUCUCAGUUUCGCUUCGAAUACAUCGACGUGAUUGAACAUGGAAUCACUCAAUUCGUUAGAUAUUCAUGAGAACGAUUUCCUUUGCAUAAAUGCUCUAAUGAAAGGAAAUAUUAGUUGCACGAUUAAAAGAAGUUAGUCCCAUGGGAGUAGAACCGCCAAGAGCUCCCCCAAUGAGUACCAACCAUCCCAGUUUUGGGCAGGACCCUUUGCAGCAGGACAUCCUACACUACAAUCCCUGGACUCUAACCCAAGUAAUCCGCAGCAGAGACAGACCCAGCGCAGUCAACAAAACCCGGGUCAGAGAAGCAACCCACAGCGCCGUGGCUACUAACAUCCGAACUAAAUAUUACAAUAUCUAAUCAGUCUACCUAACAGUAAGCAUGAGCGAAUAAAAAGUUUAACUUUA